rnacentral:tRNA from 1 species
GGUAAGAUGACUGAGAUUAGGUGAUAAAUUGUAAAUUUAUUAAGAGGAUUAUUUCCUUUUUACCA